UGCUAGCAUCAUGAACACUGAACUUUCCAGCAAAUAGCUGGAAAGUUCAGCUGGUUACUGUCGAAAACUUGCAGGAACAGGUUGCCUCACGCUUUGGAUCCCACUCCAAGCGCUCCCUCGUGCUCAAGUCUAGUCUCCCCUUUCUCUCUGCGCGGAUCCCACUCCGAGGCUCUCUUUGUGUUACCAAGCCGGGCUGAGGACUCCACCGGAUCUCCCCUGGUUCCUCCAGCUGUCCAUGGACCACUGAUCCCACCAUUGGUGCUGCUCGGACCCCGCUUCAACUCUUCCGGUGCGCCCACCAGCCGCUCAGUAACCUGCUGCCAUCACGCUGAGUCUGUCUCUCUGCUCCACUCACCCCGGCUAGGCUCCCGUACUCGGCGAUCGAACCAGCCCCGGCCUCGCGUCUCUGUCUGGCGUUCACCCGUCGUGGUUUGUCCACACAUUCUCCCCUGUACAACUGUGUGUCACAAUAAACGCCUUAAACUGA